rnacentral:rRNA from 1 species
UGAGGAAUACUGGGCAAUGCCCGCAAGGGUGACCCAGCAACGCCGCGUGGAGGAUGAAUGUCGUAAGAUUGUAAACUCCUGUUAGAGGGGAAGAAUAGUACCGGUUGGACCGGUAUAUGACUGUACCCUCAGAGAAAGCCCCGGCUAACUACGUGCCAGCAGCCGCGGUAAUACGUAGGGGGCAUGCGUUGUCCGGAUUUACUGGGUGUAAAGGGCGCGCAGGCGGGAUAAAAAGUCAGUGGUGAAAUCCUACAGCUUAACUGUAGAACUGCCUUUGAUACUUUUAUUCUUGAGUGCGGGAGGGAGAGACGGAAUUCCAGGUGUAGUGGUGAAAUACGUAGAUAUCUGGAAGAACACCAGUUGCGAAGGCGGUCUCUUGGUGCGACACUGAAGCUGGGGCGCGAAAGCGUGGGGAGCAAACA